AACAAGAUUUAAAUCGUAAAAUCGUCAGACUUAGUAUAAAUUUCGUAAAAUCGAUAAACUCAUUUAAAAUCGUAAUAUCGAAAGAUUUUAAGAGUUAAAUCGAGAUUCUAGCUACUAUGGCACUAUGUUGUUUACAAUUUUU